AUGAACGCUGGCGGCGUGCUUAACACAUGCAAGUCGAACGAAGCAUUUAAGACAGAUUACUUCGGUUUGAAGUCUUUAUGACUGAGUGGCGAACGGGUGAGUAACGCGUGAGGAACCUGCCUCAAGGAGGGGGACAACAGUUGGAAACGACUGCUAAUACCGCAUAAGCCCACGACCCGGCAUCGGGUAGAGGGAAAAGGAGCAAUCCGCUUUGAGAUGGCCUCGCGUCCGAUUAGCUAGUUGGUGAGGUAACGGCCCACCAAGGCGACGAUCGGUAGCCGGACUGAGAGGAUGAACGGCCACACUGGAACUGAGACACGGUCCAGACUCCUACGGGAGGCAGCAGUGGGGAAUCUUCCGCAAUGGGCGAAAGCCUGACGGAGCAACGCCGCGUGAGUGAUGACGGCCUUCGGGUUGUAAAACUCUGUGAUCCGGGACGAAAAGGCAGAGUGCGAAGAACAAACUGCAUUGACGGUACCGGAAAAGCAAGCCACGGCUAACUACGUG
rnacentral:rRNA from 1 species